rnacentral:rRNA from 1 species
GACGAACGCUGGCGGCGUGCCUAAUACAUGCAAGUCGAACGCAGUGGGGACGGGUGAGUAACACGUUGGUAACCUCCCAUCAGAGGGGAUAACACUUGGAAACAGGUGCUAAACCGAUACUGCUGGAUGGGCCCGCGGUGCAUUAGCUAGUUGGUGAGGUAACGGCUCACCAAGGCCACGAUGCAUAGCGGACCUGAGAGGGUGACCGGCAACAUGGGGCCUAAGCAACGGCCCGGACUCCGAGGGGAGGAAGAAGUGGGGAAUCUCCGGCAAUGGACGAAAGUCGGACCGGGCAAGGCCGCGUGAGUGAGGCAGGUUUUCGGAUCGUAAAACUCUGUUGUUAGAGAAGCGGUAUCUAACCAGAAAGCCACGGCUAACUACGUGCCAGCAGCCGCGGUAAUAC